GGCGAGAUGGCCGAGUUGGUCUAAGGCGCUGUGUUUAGGCCGCAGUUUCUCCGGAAGCGUGGGUUCGAAUCCCACUCUCGUCA